rnacentral:rRNA from 1 species
GAUGAACGCUGGCGGCGUGCCUAAUACAUGCAAGUCGAGCGAACAGAUGAGGAGCUUGCUUCUCUGACGUUAGCGGCGGACGGGUGAGUAACACGUGGAUAACCUACCUAUAAGACUGGGAUAACUUCGGGAAACCGGAGCUAAUACCGGAUAAUAUAUUGAACCGCAUGGUUCAAUAGUGAAAGACGGUUUUGCUGUCACUUAUAGAUGGAUCCGCGCCGCAUUAGCUAGUUGGUAAGGUAACGGCUUACCAAGGCAACGAUGCGUAGCCGACCUGAGAGGGUGAUCGGCCACACUGGAACUGAGACACGGUCCAGACUCCUACGGGAGGCAGCAGUAGGGAAUCUUCCGCAAAGGGCGAAAGCCUGACGGAGCAACGCCGCGUGAGUGAUGAAGGUCUUCGGAUCGUAAAACUCUGUUAUUAGGGAAGAACAAAUGUGUAAGUAACUAUGCACGUCUUGACGGUACCUAAUCAGAAAGCCACGGCUAACUACGUG